UACGGAGGAUGCGAGCGUUAUCCGGAUUUAUUGGGUUUAAAGGGUGCGCAGGCGGCACGGCAAGCCGGCGGUCAAAUCGCGGGGCUCAACCCCGCCCAGCCGUCGGAACUGCCGGGCUAGAGUGGGCGAGAAGUGCGCGGAAUGCGUGGUGUAGCGGUGAAAUGCAUAGAUAUCACGCAGAACUCCGAUUGCGAAGGCAGCGCACCGGCGCCCUACCGACGCUCAGGCACGAAAGCGUGGGUAUCGAACAGG
rnacentral:rRNA from 1 species